rnacentral:tRNA from 1 species
GCGGAUGUGGCGAAAUUGGUAGACGCACUAGACUUAGGAUCUAGCGCCUCAGGGCAUGGGGGUUCGAGUCCCUUCAUCCGCACUA